rnacentral:misc_RNA from 1 species
GAUGAAGAACGUAGCGAAAUGCGAUAAGUAAUGUGAAUUGCAGAAUUCAGUGAAUCAGCGAAUCUUUGAGCGCACCUUGCACCCUUUGGCAUUCUGAAGGGUAUGCUCGUUUGAGUGUCAUUGUACUCUCACACUCCCGAUCUUUGCAUUGGGAGCAGUGGACUUGGGUUUGCUGCUUCACCGUCGCUUACCUCAAAUAGGUUAGUGCAACUCUUGGUUGGACAUAGUACGGCGUGAUAAGUGUUCUUCGCCGGUGCCUCGCAAAGAGGGUGGCCGAUCGGGAUGUUUGUGCUCCAAACCGUCUUCGGACAAUCUCUGACGACUUGACCUCAAAUCGAGUAAGACUACCCGCUGAACUUAAGCAUAUCAAUAAGCGGAGGA